rnacentral:rRNA from 1 species
UACAGAGGUCUCAAGCGUUGUUCGGAUUCAUUGGGCGUAAAGGGUGCGUAGGUGGCGGGGUAGUCAGGUGUGAAAUCUCGGAGCUCAACUCCGAAACUGCACUUGAUACUGCCUUGCUAGAGUACUGGAGAGGAGAUUGGAAUUUUACGGUGUAGCAGUGAAAUGCGUAGAUAUCGUAAGGAAGACCAGUGGCGAAGGCGAAUCUCUGGACAGUACUGACACUGAGGCACGAAGGCCAGGGGAGCAAACGGGAUAGAAAC